rnacentral:rRNA from 1 species
GUCUGGCCUGCUCACUGAAUAUUUUAAAGAGCCGCGGUAUUUUGACCGUGCAAAGGUAGCAUAAUCAUUAGUCUCUUAAUUAGAGGCUGGAAUGAAUGGCUUGACGAGAAAUCAACUGUCUCUUAAUAAAUUUUAAAAUUUAACUUUUGAGUCAAAAGGCUUAAAUUUUUCUUUAGGACGAGAAGACCUUAUAGAGCUUAACAUUUUAUUUAUAUAUAAUUUUAAGAUAGUCUUUUUAUAUUUAAUGAUAAUGUUUUGUUGGGGUGACAUGAAGAAUAAAUAAACUCUUCAUUAUAAAAUCAUUAAUUUAUGUUUUUUUUUGAUCCAUAAUUUGUGAUCAUAAGAUUAAGUUACCUUAGGGAUAACAGCGUAAUUGUUUUUGAGAGCUCAUAUCGACAAAGCAGAUUGCGACCUCGAUGUUGGAUUAAGAAAAGUUUUGGGUGCAGUAGCCCAAUGAUUAGGUCUGUUCGACCUUUAAAUUCUUACG